CUCAAGUAUUCCCAUUGCAUGGAGGAGGAAACCGAGGCUCAGAGAAGGGCAGAGCCCAGAACCAAAAACUAACCCAGGAACUUCAGAGUCCAUAACCACUAAGAGUCAAGAGGGAGCUCCGAGUCUGAUGGGGCCGAGCAGUCACAACACAGGACGGAUGCUGUGCUGGGGAAGUAGAGGCACCGUGGACAGCCUGAUCCAGUCACUCAGGAAGUCCCAGGGCUUCUCUUACCCUUUCCUAACAGUUGCCUCCAAAACUCCUUUUUGACCAACAAUUGAUGUUUUCAUCACCUGCUUUCCUGCUGUCCUGCAAGUGGCUGGGGUAACUGCCAAUGGCCCUAUAGCACGUGUGUGAUGAUACUAGGUAAUAAAUGUGUGUCAGAC